rnacentral:rRNA from 1 species
GACGAACGCUGGCGGCGUGCUUAACACAUGCAAGUCGAACGGAAAGGCCCUGCUUUUGUGGGGUGCUCGAGUGGCGAACGGGUGAGUAACACGUGAGUAACCUGCCCUUGACUUUGGGAUAACUUCAGGAAACUGGGGCUAAUACCGGAUAGGAGCUCCUGCUGCAUGGUGGGGGUUGGACAGUUUCGGCGGUUGGGGCUGGACUCGCGGCUUAUCAGCUUGUUGGUGGGGUAGUGGCUUACCAAGGCUUUGACGGGUAGCCGGCCUGAGAGGGUGACCGGCCACAUUGGGACUGAGAUACGGCCCAGACUCCUACGGGAGGCAGCAGUGGAGAAUAUUGCACAAUGGGCGGAAGCCUGAUGCAGCAACGCCGCGUGCGGGAUGACGGCCUUCGGGUUGUAAACCGCUUUCGCCUGUGACGAAGCGUGAGUGACGGUAAUGGGUAAAGAAGCACCGGCUAACUACGUG